UUCGCUCUACACGAGCCGUCGCUGCUCGCUGCCGACACCAACACGAACACCACCACCGACACCACGGCUGCUGCCGCUGAUGCUGCUGCUGCUGCUUAUGCGACAGGUUCGCCAGCGAGUGACUACUACUGGCUGCUGGCUUUGCCGCUGAGCUGCCCGAGCCAGCUAAGAGCGCAGGCAGGAUGAAAGAAAGCUGCCGCCACUGCCGACUGUAAUACUGUACCGUGUGUGCGUUUGUAUUGUGUGAGUGUGUGCGGCACAUUACAAUAAUAUAUCUCGUACCGACAUUAUGCAGUGUGUGCUGCUACCGCUGCUAGAGCUGCUGUAGCUUUUGUGACUACAAAUUUUGAAUUAGAUGUUUAUCUUCAGUGGAUAUCACAAAAAGGAGUUAUCUAAAUCUUUUUCUUUAAUUCAUUGUAUCGGAUAACUUGUUGCUUGGUGGCUUUAUUCAGUGUUAAAACCCGUGUGAUUAACUAUGUUUGUUUAUUCAACUUUUCCAAAUACUUAUGCAGCUCAUUGAAGCUUUAAUUAUUUCGAGAAAAAACUUCUUCAAACUGUUUGUGUUCAUGCACACGUGUUACUGAAUUUUUUAAGGCUAAAUGCUUUUUUUUUAAAACCUCGGAUGUUUUAUUGCCUUAUCCCAUUGUUGAGUUUAUCUCAUAGGCACAACCAAAGGUCUUGUGAUAUAGUUUUAUUCGUAUCCUUAUUCCUAUUAGCAUUAUAAUAAUUCUCAUAAGUCGUGGUUUUGCUCUUCUGCCGUUUCAACGUUCACCAUGGAUUCACUCGGUCUGUUGUUACCUGGCCGCUGUUCUUGACCGACUGGAUCACCAGCAGUGCCUCACCUGGUUCGGUGACCGUGGUUCCAACCUGUUCUCAGGUCUUUGUUGCUGGAGUAGCAGAGUCUUGUGGUGCGAAAGAAUCUAUUUCUACUUAAGGGCCUGAAGAAUGAUAUCUUCCAAUGUUUCUUUAAGAUGGACAAGCCACUCCAAAAUCAGAAACGACUUCCAAACUGGUGAGUACAUAAUAUUUGCAGAGCGUCCUAAUUUCGGUGGAAUAAUGACCACAAAUGUCAAUAACUCAUUUUUUUAAAAACCUGCUUGUACUCUAAUCCUGACCUUUCCAUCCUUUUCCAUCUUACAUUUCUGUGUCUAUUGAGCGUGUCAAACAAUCAAGGGCUAAUCCACGGUAGCUAACGGGACAGAAAAAGUACUUAAUUAAUUUGUCCAGUCAGUCAUCGAAAACUAACACGUCACAGCAUUUGCAUAAAGUACUUUUUAAAAAAUAACUGCAUUUGAUAUGAUUCUUCAUGUGUCUUUUAAAUGUUCUUAUCGUUUAAAGUUGAAAUAAGCUAAUUGAUAUUGAAAUACGAUGUUAUCGUUUUAAGAACGUAUGAUCCAAAUGUCCCGUCAGGUACCGUGGAAAAACCCGCAAGCAAGCUGGUCUAUAUACUCAAGUCUGAAUACAGCACUAUUCACUGUUUGUCAGUCUUGAGCGUCGUUUAAUCCCUUCCUACCCCCCCCCCCCCAACCAAAACAAACAACAACAACCAACCAAACAACAAAACAAAACAAAACAAAACAAAACAAAAUUUAUUAAAAAUUCCCUGACCAUCCUCUAUUCUUUUCCCUUUAUCAUUCUCCGUCCCGUCCGGGCGUCUCAAAAAGUCUAAAAAAAGACAAUCAGCUUUAUUAUUUUUUUCCGCCAAUUCGGCUUAACAGUUUAAUGCACUGCACUGACCUAUACUCGCGCUAUGCUCUCUCCCAAUCCCAUGAGACUGAGAUAAAUAAACCUUUGACCUUAGUAAA